AUUGGUGGAAAGUGAUGGAAGAUGAAUUUAUAGCCUUGGUGAAAAUUUCAAGGAAAGAGGGUGUUUAUUUACAUCAGGAUUGCAAGAAGUAUACUUCAGCACAAUUGAGAUUUUUAAAUAUCCAUCCGAAAUUGUGUGAAUUUCAGAAUCUUUGUUCACUGCCCUGCACAGCUGGUGUGCAUUAACUAUGAUCUAGACUUAACAGACAUCAUCAUGCCUAUGCCAAUCAUGGACGUUGACUUUGAAUAAAGAACAACAUGUUGUCACCCAUUACAUGACAAAUCUAACUCAGAUGUGAAAGAGGGGGGGGAUGACUCCGUGACUCCAAAGCCGAUAUAUCUGCCACAUUACUCAAGCUGACAACACAUGUUCCAUUGAUUCUGACAAGACAAUGCAUUGAGAAACACAAAAAUUGUGUCCAUAUUAAGACAGAUGUAAAGAAAGAGUUGAAAGAUGUUUCUGAAGUAAGACAGUCAUACCCCUGCUUUCCAAGGAACCAAACAAUUACUUUCCUUGUAUUGACAUGGUGAAAAAUGGGGAGGGUCCAGAAAAUGACAAAGACCUCCAGAAUGUCAUCAGUGAUAUUGUUGCAAUUGAAUGUAACCAAUUAUUAUCCAAUAUAUAUUAUCUAUGACUGAACUCAUAAGUGGUUAAGGAAAACUGUUUUAAUUUUUUAGUCACUGCUUGGAGGUUAUUUUACAUCUCUCAGGAUUUUCUAGAUGUCAGAUUUCCUAAAACUCACACUUGUGCUUUAAUUUUUUUUUUUUUUGGUAUAAAUGUACAGAAAAAUUGAAUGUUCUUCUAUGGGAUAGUUUUGCCAAUAGUUUCAGUUGAAAGUUGCAACAAAAAAGAAGAAAAAAAAGAAGAAUUGCAAUGAUUAAAUCUCUAUGUUUUCAUGAUCUUGUAUGUGAUGUUCAUGAAUUUUUUUUUACAUUACCCGACUUACAGUGUAAUAUCACCCCCCCCCCCCAUCCUUUAUGGCUUUACUUACAAUAAAACUACAUAUGCAGAGUGAAUUUAAAACAUGAGAGAUAUAUCAUAUGUUGUAAUUGCCUGCUGAAUUUGAUAGAAAGCAAAAACGCUUUGAAUACACGAUUCUUGUACAUGGCUACAAUAAAUGUACUAUUUAUUGGUGGAAGAUGUUUUCAAAAUAACCCCUCUCCCUCCAAUAUUGGGUCAAAGUACAACAAACAAUAAUUUUUACCCUUCAUUAAUGCUUAUGCAUGACAUGUGCAAUGAUAUUAUUACGUUAUCUGAAGAUUUUAACUCUACAAAACCGACAUUAUCACCCCUCCCUUUUUUUUCUUUCUUGCAUUAAUCCCCCCCCCCCCCCCCAAUAUACCACUAAAUUUCAUUUGCAACCAAAUUCCCUUUAACAUGUAUUAGAAAUUGAUAGGUUCUACACAUGUAUCAAAUAUGAUGUCUAUUGAAGCGUUUCUUGGGCAACUAUACCUGUUUCAGUGCAAAUAGGUGAAAUUGGGUAAAAUUUCAGCAUUUCAUUCAUUUUGAAAUUUUGAUAUUUUAUUACACUGUGUAUUAAAUUUUGAUUGCUUAUGUGUUAUUAAUUCCUAUUUGUCUCUGCAAUAUCAUGAAAUAGGUAUCAUUAAAUUGCAAGACAUGGGUUUUGCAAUAAACCAAAAAGAAAGUACAUUGUCUGAUUUUUUUCAAUAGAUCUAAAUAUAGAAAUGGGGGAAAACCAAGUGUCUCUCGUUUCCAUGGUUACCGAUCGAGUGGAAUGAAAAUAAUUAUUUUUACGUUCAAGUUAUGUUAUCUAAAGGAUAUAUACCAAGUUUCAUGAAAUUCUGACACAUGCCCAUCAAUAGCCAUUUGCAUGGUUCUAUCGUAGACAGCCUCUUAAAGAAUGGUUCCUUCAUCUUAUGGAGAGUUUUAUAACAUAAAAAAAUCACAUACCUUUGUAUGAACCAGAACUGAGCUUCCUUACUAAUUACUCUGAAACUUUUAUGCUAUAGAGGAUAUAUAUAUAUAUAUAUUAAUUAAAUGUGGUGACCUUAAGAUAACCUUGAAAACGAGUCUUGAAUGUUCUCUGGUAGCUUUGGUAUUACUAACUCUGAAUCAAAGUGACCCUUUUCAUCAAUAUGAUCUGUAUGAAGGUGACCCAGCUAUCAAGGUGAUCUUCUUUAUCAAGGUGACCUAGCUAUCAAGUUAUUUAUCAAGGUGACCUAUAUCAAGGUGAGCCAGUUAUUAAGGUCCCUGAACCUGACCUUAUUUAUCAAGGUGACCUAUAUAUCAAGGUGAGCUGAUUUUCAAGGUGACCCCGUGAUCUGAUUAUCAAGGUGACCCUGUGAUCUGAUUAUUAAGGUGACCCCUGUCAAGGGCACAGACCCUGACCUUAUUCAUCAAGGUGACCUGGUUAUUAAUAACAUUGACCUUGACUCUUGUAUCUAGGUCAAGGUGACUGACCGCACAUACUGUAGACUGCUAUACUUACUACUGACACCAUUCCAGCUGGCGACACACAAUGUGUUCUCUUUUGCAGAGAAUAUCACCACAAAACAUCAAUUAAUGAAAGUGGUGAUUUUUUCUUCUUCAAAACAUGCCCACUUAUUUGAUGAGGGCACUGUUGACCACUGUUGUAGUCCUGGGGUAUGUGGAGCAAACCUUCCAAUGCAUCACACCAUAGGGGAUGAGUUCACCUGGGCUAAGGAGGGAAUGGCGGAACUCCUUUGCGAGACUGGCCCUGAGGUACAGGAAGUAACCACUGACCCGGACAGCGCGGCUGGUCGAGCGGCGCAUUCCCUCUAUCAGGUUGGGCUUCUGAAAGAACAACCAAUUCAUUAUAUCGACACUCAGCAUUUGUCUGAAAGCAUCAGAAAGUCUAUCAAGAGAGACGAAAAACUGGCACAGGUCAUGCCUGGAAGAAACAAGGCUGAACGAAUAAAAACGUUACAUAAUUUUGCCCUAGAUGCAGUUGACAGAUGCACAGCCGAGAUGAAUCAAGCUUAUGAGGCGUUUGCGGGGGAUGCUGCAAAGAUGAUAAACAAGCUCCCAUAUGCCAAAUUUGCAAUGGUGCAUUGCUACAUGGGUGCUCGUGCAGAAAACACUCUCUGGUGUGCAAAUUGGGGUUAAAAAGUGACUGGUUAAGAAAAAGUACCUAUCUGAGUCACAAUUUCAAAAUACCCUGUUCGGCCGAAAAUGAGAACCUGCCCCAUGCUUGUAUUUCAAAAAGGUUGUCUCCAGCUGUCCUGGUUAAGACGAUCAAAAACAGCAACUCUCAGAAGAUCGAGAGCUUUAAUCCAACCCUGCGAUGAUCUCUGCCUCGCAAUGUAACAUUUACGAGAAACUUCUCCGGUCGGGUGCACAGUGCUGUCCACUCUUCUAAUAAUGGUCCGGGCAUGUCUAUUCGGGGUCUCCGUGCAGGGGUAGAUGCUGUCAUCCCCACCAGUGGUUCAGUGGACAAAACCCUUGAUAAAGUACAAAAAGAUUAUGAAUUAAACAAGGCUUAUCAGAAAUUGCCAUCCCACAAAAGUAAAAGAGUUUUCAAACGAAACAAUUGUACAAACUUUAUGAGAGGCAUCAAGAAGAAAUCAAAUACCAGAAAAAUGUAAUGUUGAGCUAACUUCGAGCCCUAGUAAAAAAAUGGAGAUACCGAGCAUAAUUACUCUAAACUAAAUCACUAGCAUUAUAAUUGUUCUUAAAGGGACUGAUUCACGAUUUCCCCCAAAAUUGUCUUUUUCACUUUUAAUGAUCAAAGUCUACUGUCUAAUGUGUUUAAAAGAGUUCACAUAAAAAUUAAGGUUAUAUAUUAUCAAAGAAGCUCAUUAUAGAGAGCUCAUUAUAGAGAGUUUAUUAUUUGUUUUGUAAACAAAGAUUGCGGUAUGUUAUUGUUUAUGAAAUUGUCAAAAGAAAUGGAUAUCGAUCUAAGUUUAUUAUAUCUUUCACAUUUCGUAGCAGUUAUGGGGUAAAUGUGUCACCUAAAAGUUAAAAUUUGUGACUAUGCAAAAUAAAGAUGCUUUAUAUUACAAAAUCAAUAUUUCACUUAUUUGUUUGUAUACAUAAAAAGACUCGAGUGUUUGUUUACAUAACACAGAUUUAAGGCUAAAAUAUUGCUUUAAUUGUUGCAUUCAGAAGGUCAAAAUUUGGCUCUCAAUAUGAAAUGAGUUAUAUUUUUAAUGUUUACCAUCAAAAAUGAAAUCUAGUUUUAUCAAAAAUCGUGAGCUAGUCCCUUUAAAUAAUUACAGUAUAUGAUGCAAUGUGGCAGGUGUGUCCCACAACAAACCCCCUUGUGGAAUCAAUGCAUCCGCUCCAAGUUUGGCAUGUGGCUCAAUUACUAAGUGCACUGGAUUGACACACAGCUUCUUAUGGCAGAGAUGACUAACCUCCAGACAUCCACCUGGGAACUGUGACCUUGUCAGGUGCAUCUCUACCAUAAGAGCCACCCGGUGCGCCUUUUCCUGCUUACUACCCUCCUCUGGCCAGUUCACCUUCAGCACGCCAUACCCACUACUAGAUUUCGCACCCUUCAAAAUGAUACAGCCGGCCCCUGUCUUCGGAAAAUCAUCAUCUAUAAAAAUCGGAGCCACCACGCUCUUUCAUUCCUUGGGCUAUCACAAAAUGAGGAAGCAACAAACAGCCUAAAACAUCUAAUUUGGAGCAGGUAAGAAUAAUGAGGAGCACUCUAUUUAAGAAAUACGGAGGGAAGUUUUCCACCAAAUACCAAAGCGUUUGAAUUUUUCACAUAGGUGUUAUACUAAACAAUGCAUGUAUGUAUGUAGUUCUUGGUGUAUUAGAUUUGAUUAAAAGAUGGGGAAAAAACCACAGUGUCCUGCAGAAAAACAUGAACAAACCAAACGUAGAAAACGCUUCCAGCACCUCCUAAGACUUUCCACUAUGGAGGGAAAAUGCUGGAAGUUGGUAGAAGUCAUUCAAGAAAAAAAACGAAAAAACAAGAAUCACCAUCCACUUGUAUAGGAGUAUGACUCAUCUGAGUGUGGACCAGUCUACAAGUAUCUUAAAUAAAUAUCUUGCUGGAGAGAUUACAGCGACUCAGAUGAAGACUAUAAUAAAACACUAUUCUGAUCCACCUGUAAGGAUCACCCUGUUUUUGCAGAGGAUUUGAGGAAAGCUAUAUGUUUAGAAUAUUCGAAUUUGUUGUCCUAACUUCUCUGUACAUUGAAUCAUUUGAUUGCCAUUACUUUGCCACUUGAAUACUGACUAUAAUCAUAAUUCUAGACUCAGGGUUUUCCUGACUUUCCUGAAUCCGUAGUUCGAAACUUUGAAAUUAUAGAAGUAUUUCUUAAUGACACUCCCAGGGCUCUCAAAGGAUUUCACAUGAUCACACACAGAGGGUUCCUUUGUUGGUGUUUCUUCUUUCUCACAUGGUGCAUAUCUCCUAUAAGCAACACAAAAUAGAUAGUUAGGCAAACACUGACCCCUGGACACACCAGAGGUGGAAUCAGGUGCCUAGGAGAAGUAAGCAUCUCCUGUUGACCAGUCACAUUCUAUCUAAUUUUCCGAAUCCUAGUGGCCAACGGCCAGCGAACAGAAAUUUUCCUACCCAUCACUCCAAACAUUUUGGAGAAGGCUCAGAGGAGGUCCAUAUGAGCUAUCCUGUUGAAGUUUAUUUUUACUUACUACUGUAUGCCAAACUUAUUUACCUCUUUUGCAAAUUUUAUAUUAUUUUGAUGUGCUUGCUUUCAGAUCACCAAGCAUAAGCCGGAUUAUAUAAGUCCGGCUAGUGUAGCCCUUCCUGGCCCUCUCUGGGCAUAUAUCCAGGCAUAUUUCCACAUGGUGAAAACUCUGGAUAGAUUCGAUGAAGACCUGUGGAAAUAUAAAUCAAUCUUCGUGACAUUGAGGGAUCUGGAGUCCAACCCAUCAACCACAGUGGAGUGCACAAAGCCAUUAAUGUCCCCUGGAGAAGUGUACACGGUCCAGAGUCCGGCGUGAGUGUCACUAGAAUGAUGAAAUCCGUCGUUACUAAUGUGCGAAAAAACACCCCCUUGGUGCUAAAAUGCUUGCCAGUCAUAUGAGUCAUAAAGAGUCGACGGCCAGUCGUUAUUACGAUAUCCAAAAUCAGAAUGAAUUGGCUCUGCCAAUCUCGCAUAUGAUCACGGAGGCCAUGACUGGGAAAGUAAGAUAUAAUUUAUUACGUCAUAUAUCUUAUUGAGCCUUUUAUUUUCCCUUAUAUCUUCAGUAAGAUAUUCUGAUUUUUUAAAAUUUCAUUUCAGAAGGACGAGAACCCUGACCAGUUAGCGAUAGAGGACAAGGCUACCGACGUCGACAAUUAGGCCCCACAGAUAAAGUUGGUUUAUACAUCGUGAAUCGGUCUCGAAGCAGGUAGCCCCCUGUUUGUUUAUAGGAUUUGUUGCACACAUUUACAUACAGGGGCGGAUCCAGGAAUUGUGGUUAUGGGGGGGGGGUAUGAGACAGGGGGUAUGGGCUCCUGGAUUUUACAGAUUUUAUAGGGUUUGAAAUAUGUCUCCUAUCUAAGUCAUUUGUACUAUUUUCUAUUAUUUUUAAUAAGGUGAAAUUACUAAAAUGACGCAAAUUUAAGAGUUCUUGAAAAAAAACCCAAAACUUCUCCCAAUUAAAGUAAUUCAAGAAAUCAAAAGAUUUUGUCAUUUAUUUCUCCGGGAGUGGAAAAAAUUAUUGCUUGUUUUAUCGUUUAGUACAUUUUCCUAAACAAGAUACCACAAUUUACCUUAAAUUUGAAUUUUUUAGAGGGGGGGGGGGGCCGCCCUUAAAUCCGCCACUGACAUAUAUUAUUAUAUUAGUAUCUCACAAGUGGUCAUCUCUAAAGCUUACCGAGGGUUGAAACUGACUAUUCAGAAUGAUUUAUGAGGGUGAUUGGUGAGGAAAUUAAUUAUUGGUGCUAUGAAAAAUUAUUUCUUUCUUCAAGGGGGGGGGGGGGUGUACAGAAGACCUAUACAAGCUAUCCACACUUGAGUUUGCUCAGUAUAAUUCCAAUAAAUAGCAAGCGUGCAGACUUUAUUUAGUGAACAAAUUAAUAUUCCUUACAACGCACAGAGAUAUUAGAUCGUACUUAGUCACAUUCGUAGUAUAUGUGUUUGCAUCAAUAUUGUAUUUAUUGGCCUUGUAUGAAGCAUGAUUGUAUCAUCGAAAUAGUGAUAACAGCUAUAAAUUAUUUUAUUUAAAUGUUUAAUAAUAAAGAUUGCAACAUUAAAAUUAAAAUAUUGGUGUAAUGAGCACCUCCUCCUCUCUCUCUUUAGGGUUUCUGUGUAACGAUGGUAUCCCAAACAGAAGCUGACACAUAGCUAGUCUACCCUUCGUUCUCUCUCCCUUAUUCAAUCAACCUAAGCUCUAUUGUUAAAAGUUUUAUUGACCGGCGGCUUAUCAUUGAUCACCACACAGGUAAAAUUUGGGGGCGUUAACUUAAAGUUGGGUCUUUAAAUAUUAUCAUUCCUGUUUAUCUGAUCAGAUGUGAGUUGAAAGUGCGCACUCAAAAUACACGAACAACGAAUUUGACAACGAAAGUGUGAAUAGUACGCUUCAUUUUUGUAUAAAUUUAAAGUUUAUCUGAAUGGAACUCAAAUUUCCGUAUUAAACCUGAUGCGCGAAUGUGUUCAGCCUGAAUUGAAUUUAAAUUAUAUAUGUUAAUACAUAUUAAUUGUAUAUGUUAAUUGUAUUUGCUAACUAUAUGAAAACAUUCUUAAUGGGAGAACAUAACACGGAAA